ACGUAGGGGGCAAGCGUUAUCCGGAAUUAUUGGGCGUAAAGAGUGCGUAGGUGGUUUUUUAAGCAUGAGGUGAAAGGCAAUAGCUUAACUAUUGUAAGCCUUGCGAACUGGAAGACUUGAGUGCAGGAGAGGAAAGUGGAAUUCCCCGUGUAGCGGUGAAAUGCGUAGAUAUGGGGAGGAACACCAGUGGCGAAGGCGGCUUUCUGGACGGUGUCUGACACUGAGGCGCGAAAGCCAGGGGAGCGAACGG
rnacentral:rRNA from 1 species